rnacentral:rRNA from 1 species
UGCAGUCGACGAUGACCACUUCGGUGGGGAUUAGUGGCGAACGGGUGAGUMACACGUGGGCAAUCUGCCCUUCACUCUGGGACAAGCCCUGGAAACGGGGUCUAAUACCGGAUAACACUCUCACGGGCAUCUGUGAGGGUUGAAAGCUCCGGCGGUGAAGGAUGAGCCCGCGGCCUAUCAGCUUGUUGGUGAGGUAAUGGCUCACCAAGGCGACGACGGGUAGCCGGCCUGAGAGGGCGACCGGCCACACUGGGACUGAGACACGGCCCAGACUCCUACGGGAGGCAGCAGUGGGGAAUAUUGCACAAUGGGCGAAAGCCUGAUGCAGCGACGCCGCGUGAGGGAUGACGGCCUUCGGGUUGUAAACCUCUUUCAGCAGGGAAGAAGCGAAAGUGACGGUACCUGCAGAAGAAGCGCCGGCUAACUACGUGCCAGCAGCCGCGGUAAUACGUAGGGCGCAAGCGUUGUCCGGAAUUAUUGGGCGUAAAGAGCUCGUAGGCGGCUUGUCACGUCGGGUGUG